rnacentral:rRNA from 1 species
GACGAACGCUGGCGGCGUGCUUAACACAUGCAAGUCGAACGCUGAAGCUCAGCUUUUGUUGGGUGGAUGAGUGGCGAACGGGUGAGUAACACGUGAGUAACCUGCCCCCUUCUUUGGGAUAACGCCCGGAAACGGGUGCUAAUACUGGAUAUUCACUGGUCUUCGCAUGGGGGUUGGUGGAAAGGGUUUUUCUGGUGGGGGAUGGGCUCGCGGCCUAUCAGCUUGUUGGUGGGGUGAUGGCCUACCAAGGCUUUGACGGGUAGCCGGCCUGAGAGGGUGACCGGUCACAUUGGGACUGAGAUACGGCCCAGACUCCUACGGGGGGCGGCAGUGGGGAAUAUUGCGCAAUGGGCGCAAGCCUGAUGCAGCGACGCCGCGUGAGGGAUGGAGGCCUUCGGGUUGUGAACCUCUUUCGCUCAUGGUCAAGCCGCAACAAUGGUUGUGGUGAGGGUAGUGGGUAAAGAAGCGCCGGCUAACUACGUG